rnacentral:lncRNA from 10 species
AAGCCUGCUAGACAAAUUCUAAAAGAGCUGUAACAUUUGUUUUAUUCAUUUCUGUCGGGAUAAAACCACCCAUGUUUCAGGGAGUAUGAGGUUUCAGUGAGAUAACAGAUCAAAAUUGUGCUUAGCAUAGUUACUGGACCAAAAUAGGCACUCCAUAGGUGUUUGUUGGGUACCUAAAGGGAUGGAGGGAUGGAUGGAUGGAUGGAUGGAUGGAUGGUUAGAGGGAUAGAUAGAUGGAUAGAGGGAUGGUGGGAUGGAGGGAUGGAUAGGUGGAUAGACAGAUGGGUAUGUGGGAGGAUGGCUUGCUGGUAGGAUAUCAAAGGGAAUAGGACUUUUUAUACAGAAAUACCAAGUCUGCACAAAAACCAGGUGCUUUACAAGAAGGUCUUAUAUCUCUUUGUGGCCUUAGGUCUUGAGCACAUAUAUAACACAGAUGAGUAAAAACAGGCAUAAAUGUAUCCAGGCUAUAUGUGAGAAACUGGAGACAGAUUAUUUAGAUCCGGUUCCUGCCCCCCAGGAUAGGAAAGACAGGCAUUGAAAGGAA